rnacentral:rRNA from 1 species
GAUGAACGCUGGCGGCGUGCUUAACACAUGCAAGUCGAGCGAAGCACUUAAGUUCGAUUCUUCGGAUGAAGACUUUUGUGACUGAGCGGCGGACGGGUGAGUAACGCGCGGGUAACCUGCCUCAUACAGGGGGAUAACAGUUAGAAAUGGCUGCUAAUACCGCAUAAGACCACAGUACUGCAUGGUACAGUGGUAAAAACUCCGGUGGUAUGAGAUGGACCCGCGUCUGAUUAGGUAGUUGGUGGGGUAACGGCCCACCAAGCCGACGAUCAGUAGCCGACCUGAGAGGGUGACCGGCCACAUUGGGACUGAGACACGGCCCAGACUCCUACGGGAGGCAGCAGUGGGGAAUAUUGCACAAUGGGCGAAAGCCUGAUGCAGCGACGCCGCGUGAAGGAUGAAGUAUUUCGGUAUGUAAACUUCUAUCAGCAGGAAAGAAAAUGACGGUACCUGACUAAGAAGCCCCGGCUAACUACGUGCCAGCCGCCGCAGUAAGAC